rnacentral:misc_RNA from 1 species
GAUGAAGAACGCAGCGAAAUGCGAUAAGUAAUGUGAAUUGCAGAAUUCAGUGAAUCAUCGAAUCUUUGAACGCACAUUGCGCCCUUUAGUAUUCUAGUGGGCAUGCCUGUUCGAGCGUCAUUAAGUCCACUUAAGCCCUGCUUAGUGUUGGGAGACUGCUCCAGCGGUGCUACCCUGUAGCUACCCUGCAGCUCCUCAAAGACAGCGGCGGAGUUGUGGUAUCCUCUGAGCUUAGUAACUUGUUCUAGCUUUCGAGUACACCACUUCCCCUGCCGUAAAACCCUUAAUUUUUAAUGGUUGACCUCGGAUCAGGUAGGAAUACCCGCUGAACUUAAGCAUAUCAAUAAGCGGAGGA